CAUGAUUAGAUUAGAAGCCAUAAUUGGUCCCUUAUCUUUCUAGCCUCCAUCCCCAAGCCACAGCCACCAUCAUUGACCUGAAGCACCACUUGAACAUUACUGCUUGUCUUUCUAGCCUUCAACUUCUUCUUUCUCUAUCUCUCUCUCUCUCUCUCUCUCUCUCCCCCUCUCUCUCUAUUGGGUCUUAGUUCUGGCUGUUUUCUUCUUUCUUCUCAUUGGUGUGGUGCCCUAGAUCUUGAAAGAACAAAGAAGAAGAAGCUUGCAGCAAGCAUGAUUAGAAAACCCACUUCUCUCAGUGCAUCAAGUCCAUGAGUUUUAGACACGAUAAAUAUGGAUGGGCUUCAAGUAAAUCUUGAAACAAAUAGCUUGGAAGUGCCUAUUAAUUUAGAAGAUAAUAUAAGUCCUAUGGAGGGAGUCACAAGUGAGCAUAAAGUGAAGCGUAAGAGAAAACUUACUUUAAAGUGCAUAGAAAAAUUUCAAGCACAACUUGAUGAUCUUAUUGAAGAAGUUUUGAGCUGUGAUAUUAAUAAGAAAGAACCUUUAAGUCAAUGCUCUAACUAUGCCAAUACUCAAGCAUAAGGUCGGACUCUAAGUCGGAUUGUUGAGCACCAAAAAUUAAUAUAUUUGCUUUGGACUUUGGACAUUGACUAAUAAAUUUGGAGCAUAAUUAUGGUUAUGUCCUUUUUCCUUAGUUUUUAGAUGUAUUAUGGUACCAAUUUGAGAUUAUAUCUAUGUGGUUGUGAUGCAUUGAAACCAUGUUUUUUGGAAACACGUGUAUUGAGACUUAUGUAUCGUGGAUUAGGAUUCUUGGCAUUUUGAAUUUUUAUAUUUUUUAUUUUAUAUAAAUUUGCAAGAAUAACUAGAUGGUAUAUUACUAUGA